rnacentral:rRNA from 1 species
ACCCAGUUCAGAUUGCAGGCUGCAACUCGCCUGUAUGAAGUUGGAAUUGCUAGUAAUCGCGGAUCAGCAUGCCGCGGUGAAUACGUUCCCGGGCCUUGUACACACCGCCCGUCACACCAUGGGAGCCGGUAAUACCCGAAGUCAGUAGUCUAACCUUCUAGGAGGGCGCUGUCCGAAGGUAGGAUUGGCGACUGGGGUGAAGUCGUAACAAGGUAAC